ACGGGGGGAGCAAGCGUUGUUCGGAUUUACUGGGCGUAAAGGGCGCGUAGGCGGCAAUUCAAGUCAUCUGUGAAAUCUCCGGGCUUAACUCGGAACGGUCAGUUGAUACUGCUUUGCUAGAGUGCAGAAAGGGCAAUCGGAAUUCUUGGUGUAGCGGUGAAAUGCGUAGACAUCAAGGGGAACACCUGAGGCGAAGGCGGGUUGCUAGGCUGACACUGACGCUGAGGCGCGAAAGCUAGGGUAGCAAACGGGA
rnacentral:rRNA from 1 species